rnacentral:rRNA from 1 species
AUUGAACGCUGGCGGCAGGCUUAACACAUGCAAGUCGAGCGAGCGGCGGACGGGUGAGUAAUGUCUGGGAAACUGCCUGAUGGAGGGGGAUAAUUUCUGGAAACGGUAGCUAAUACCCCAUCCCAUCCGAUGUGCCCAGAUGGGCUUGGCCAGUGGGUGGGGUAAUGGCUCACCUAGGCGACGAUCCCUAGCUGGUCUGGGAGGAUGACCGGCCACACUGGAACUGGGACACGGUCCGUACUCCUACGGGAGGCAGCAGUGGGGAAUAUUGCACAAUGGGCGCAAGCCUGAUGCAGCCAUGCCGCGUGUGUGAAGAAGGCCUUCGGGUUGUAAAGCACUUUCAGCGAGGAGGCGUUACUCGCAGAAGAAGCACCGGCUAACUCCGUGCCAGCAGCCGCGGUAAUUC